GUAUUUAAAGAUAUCAUAUUAUACGUGACUUGCAACAAACUAAACUGUUAAAAUCGUACAAUUUAGUUUCGUUACACUGAUUAAUAUACGGAUUAUUUGUUCUUAAGGAUAUCAAGAAUAGAAUUGAACAGAACAGACAUUAAGAGUAUUGACAAUUUAAGAUUUUCAGUUCUCAAAUGGAGUAAAAGUUCAAAAGGGAGCCACACAGACAAGAACACCGGAUCUAGCCAUGGAUCGUCCGAAAUCCACUCAUAGUACCCUUAGUCACGUGACGGAAAAGACCGAGAAAAGUGUAUCUACUCCUAUGGCAGCACGUGCAACUCCAAUGACACCGGCACAUAAAUCAUGGACGGCAUACGGAGGUCCCGUACUGUUCACCGGUCCGAGUGGAUUACGAGACCAGCGUGUUAAAACAGAGAACGAGUUUGUCGUGGUUGGAGAGUCGGACAAUUCAUCAGAAAUUACUAGUCAGAUGGGGUACCUGAACCGUGCGGCUCCUGGUGCCCAAUUUCCGAAGGCUAAAAACGGACAAGUCGGUGAAAUUGGAUGGGUGUAUGAUAAACUUAAAGUUGUAAAAGGAAUAUAAUAUGUCAACAUAUAAAUGUAAUAUAAAAGUCAUUUUAUAUACGUUUCGUACGUUAGUCAUUUGUUUUUAUUUCAGCUUAGUUAUUAGAAAUUUGUGUUCUUUUGCUUAAUUAUUCAAACUUUAUAGGAAUAUAUUAUCUAGAUAUUUACUGCUGUUUUUGCCGUGCUAAAUAUUGUUUUACUAAAUGAAAGGAAUUAUCUCACUAUUUGUCUUUGAAACGGCGUCGCAAUUUGCAUAAGGUAUUGAUUGAAAACAUAAUCUGUAUGUCUGUAUGUCUAGGUCUGUCCACGAGUGUUAACUUUUUGGAAUACCAGUGUAAAGAGAAAUUUGUUAGGACCACUGUACUAUAAAGAAAGAGUUUCACACAUAACUAUCCAAAAAACGGUUACUUUUAGUCAUAUAUAUGGUUUUAUGUGCAUGAGAACUUUAUUUUGGGCAAGGAGACGAUUCAUUUUAUCUGUAAGAAUCUACCAGAUUAUAACCAGUCAUGUGCAAAAAUAGCAAAUGUCACGGUACGAGACAAUAUAAAAGAAUGAGUUUUACACAUAACCAAAAACGGUUACUUCUUCGUCAUAUGUAUGGACAAAGGUUUUAUGUGCAUGAGAUCUUGAUUUUGGGCACGGAGACGAAUUUCAUUUUGUCUUUAUCAAAUUCAGUCCGCCAGAGAAUAACCAACCGUGUGCAAUAUAACCUAAUGCCGUGUUAGUAGAUAAUAGAAGUUUGCAGUGAACGUAGAAAUAGCCAGCUUGCCGUGGAUAUAGAUGUAGACAGUAGAAUAGUCAAAAUUAGAAUAGUAAACGAGUGCCGUGGAAGUAGAUAGUAGAGUUUGCAGUGAACGUAGUACAUGUAGUAGAUAUAUAGAUAUAGAAGUAGAUUAGAAAAGUUUGCAGUGUGUAGAAGUAGUUCUCGGUGGUGGUGUUUGAGCGAUUACUCAAGCUUUUACUAACACUUAAACAAACUUCAAACGUUAUGCUUUUAGAAAGAGUUUUGGUAUAGUUCUGCAUCUUUUGACCGAAAUACCGUCAACCGUUGACGUUACACAUGUAUGGCAUAUAAUCCGGACUUUAUCGUAUGUUAUCCGGACAAAUGACGUUACGCCAUCACUUUCGAUUUUUCAAACGUGCAGAAUUACAUCAAAAGGAAUAUUUCAAAAAUAUUUUAAAGACUCGGAUAUUGUUGAAGGACAAGUAUCAAAUGAUGUUUUUUUUAUAUAUUGCUUCACGAUGCAGUUGUAAUAUUUUUACCUUGAUCGUGCCCAAACUCAAGUAUUUCUUUUAUGCACAUGAGACCGUUUAAUCGAAGGACGCAUGACAUGUGUUGCUUCAAUGAAAAUAAGUGCCCAUUGUAACCAUCAGUAUGUCUCUUAAGCAUAUUUGUACAUGUACACAUAAUUAAAGGAAUGAAAUGUUACAGGCAUAAAUAAUAAGGGAUAUGAAUUACUUUUUUCCGGUAUAGUUUGUAUUUGUCGCUUACAAACAGGCUCAUUUAUCAUACAUUUCGGAAUUAUUGAUAAUAUUGUUCGCAAAAAUCUAUUUGCUAUGUUAAACUUAGUAACCACAGGUAGUUUUGAGCCAGACAUGUUUUUGUGGACUUGAUGGUACGUAGGUCUGUCAGAAUUGUGUGCCAGAAUACGAAUGUAGGAAUCAUGUAUGGCUACAUUUAUAUAACAACAUCUCUGAUGGCAGGAGUUUUCUUUAAAUCCUUUACAUCUUGCAUGGUGAUAGUUAUGACCUCCGAUGUAUAAACUGAGUUGCUUUUUGUAAUGCUUUUUCUCUAAGAAGCUUCUAGCGCCGCAUUGAAAUGAUUUUGUUCUGCUUUUUAUAUAAUAAUGUUGGUUUUACGAUGUUACGAAAUUAGAAUAAAAAUGAAAUUAAAGGAA